GCCCGGGUGGCGGAACCGGUAGACGCAAGGGACUUAAAAUCCCUUGGGGGAAACCCCGUGCGGGUUCGAAUCCCGCCCCGGGCAC
rnacentral:tRNA from 1 species